rnacentral:rRNA from 1 species
CAGGCUUAACACAUGCAAGUCGAGCGGGGUGAUGGUGCUUGCACUAUCACUUAGCGGCAGACGGGUGAGUAACGCGUGGGAAUCUACCCAUCACUACGGAACAACUCCGGGAAACUGGAGCUAAUACCGUAUACGUCCUUCGGGAGAAAGAUUUAUCGGUGAUGGAUGAGCCCGCGUUGGAUUAGCUAGUUGGUGGGGUAAGGGCCCACCAAGGCGACGAUCAAUAGCUGGUCUGAGAGGAUGGUCAGACACACUGGGACUAAGACACGCCCCAGACUCCUACGGGAGGCAGCAGUGGGGAAUAUUGGACAAUGGGCGCAAGCCUGAUCCAGCCAUGCCGCGUGAGUGAUGAAGGCCCUAGGGUUGUAAAGCUCUUUCACCGGUGAAGAUAAUGACGGUAACCUGAGAAGAAGCCCCGGCUAACUUCGUGCCAGCCGCCGCGGUAA